CAGAAAGCCACGGCUAACUACGUGCCAGCAGCCGCGGUAAUACGUAGGUGGCAAGCGUUGUCCGGAUUUAUUGGGCGUAAAGCGAGCGCAGGCGGUUUUUUAGGUCUGAUGUGAAAGCCUUCGGCUUAACCGGAGAAGUGCAUCGGAAACCGGGAGACUUGAGUGCAGAAGAGGACAGUGGAACUCCAUGUGUAGCGGUGAAAUGCGUAGAUAUAUGGAAGAACACCAGUGGCGAAGGCGGCUGUCUGGUCUGUAACUGACGCUGAGGCUCGAAAGCAUGGGUAGCGAACAGGAUUAGAUACCCUGGUAGUCCAUGCCGUAAACGAUGAGUGCUAAGUGUUGGAGGGUUUCCGCCCUUCAGUGCUGCAGCUAACGCAUUAAGCACUCCGCCUGGGGAGUACGACCGCAAGGUUGAAACUCAAAGGAAUUGACGGGGGCCCGCACAAGCGGUGGAGCAUGUGGUUUAAUUCGAUGCUACGCGAAGAACCUUACCAGGUCUUGACAUCUUCUGCCAACCUAAGAGAUUAGGCGUUCCCUUCGGGGACAGAAUGACAGGUGGUGCAUGGUUGUCGUCAGCUCGUGUCGUGAGAUGUUGGGUUAAGUCCCGCAACGAGCGCAACCCUUAUUGUUAGUUGCCAGCAUUCAGUUGGGCACUCUAGCAAGACUGCCGGUGACAAACCGGAGGAAGGUGGGGAUGACGUCAAAUCAUCAUGCCCCUUAUGACCUGGGCUACACACGUGCUACAAUGGACGGUACAACGAGUCGCGAAACCGCGAGGUCAAGCUAAUCUCUUAAAGCCGUUCUCAGUUCGGAUUGUAGGCUGCAACUCGCCUACAUGAAGUUGGAAUCGCUAGUAAUCGUGGAUCAGCAUGCCACGGUGAAUACGUUCCCGGGCCUUGUACACACCGCCCGUCACACCAUGAGAGUUUGUAACACCCAAAGCCGGUGAGGUAACCUUCGGGGACCAGCCGUCUAAGGUGGGACAGAUGAUUAGGGUGAAGUCGUAACAAGGUAGCCGUAGGAGAACCUGCGGCUGGAUCACCUCCUUUCUAAGGAA
rnacentral:rRNA from 2 species